UACGGAGGAUCCAAGCGUUAUCCGGAUUCAUUGGGUUUAAAGGGUGCGUAGGCGGCAUGAUAAGUCAGUGGUGAAAUCCUGCAGCUUAACUGCAGAACUGCCAUUGAUACUGUCAAUCUUGAGUAUAUUUGAUGUGGGCGGAAUGUGUCAUGUAGCGGUGAAAUGCUUAGAUAUGACACAGAACACCGAUUGCGAAGGCAGCUCACAAAACUAUAACUGACGCUGAGGCACGAAAGCGUGGGUAUCAAACAGG
rnacentral:rRNA from 1 species